rnacentral:rRNA from 1 species
UUGACGGGGCCCGCACAAGCGGUGGAGUAUGUGGUUUAAUUCGAUGCAACGCGAAGAACCUUACCUGGUCUUGACAUCCCGGAGACCUUAGGAAACUAGGGGGUGCUUCCAUCUGGAAGAAUCUGGAGACAGGUGCUGCAUGGCUGUCGUCAGCUCGUGUCGUGAGAUGUUGGGUUGAGUCCCGCAACGAGCGCAACCCUUGCCUUUAGUUGCCAGCAGUUCGGCUGGGCACUCUAAAGGGACUGCCGGUGUUAAACCGGAGGAAGUGGGGAUGACGUCAAGUCCUCAUGGCCUUUAUGACCAGGGCUACACACGUACUACAAUGGCCGAUACAAAGGGCAGCGACACUGCGAGGUGAAGCCAAUCCCGUAAAAUCGGUCUCAGUCCGGAUUGGAGUCUGCAACUCGACUCCAUGAAGUUGGAAUCGCUAGUAAUCGUGGAUCAGCAUGCCACGGUGAAUACGUUCCCGGGCCUU